rnacentral:misc_RNA from 1 species
GAUGAAGAACGUAGCGAAAUGCGAUAAGUAGUGUGAAUUGCAGAAUUCAGUGAAUCAUCGAAUCUUUGAACGCACAUUGCGCCCGCCAGUAUUCUGGCGGGCAUGCCUGUUCGUGCGUCAUUUCAACCAUCAAGCCCCAGGCUUGUGUUGGGGACCUGCGGCUGCCGCAGGCCCUGAAAACCAGUGGCGGGCUCGCUGUCACACCGGGCGUAGUAGAUUUUAUCUCGCUCAGGGCGUGCUGCGGGUUCCGGCCGUUAAAAAGCCUUUUUUACCCAAGGUUGACCUCGGAUCAGGUAGGAAGACCCGCUGAACUUAAGCAUAUCAAUAAGCGGAGGA